AUAUCAAACCAUCCUACGAGGAACGUUUUAGUUGCAAGAAAAGUCCGGCCUAUGCAGACGUCUUUUUUGUCGCGUGUUUUUUUACGCUUCGCAAAAAAAGUUGUGCCAACUUCAAGUUCAGAGCUCCUGCUGGAAAUAUCCACAAAACCAAAACCAAUUUCCCCCCGCGUUGCCUCUUUUUACAAGAGUGGGCGCUUUCAAAAUUCUUCAGAGAGGUGUGUAGAAAUGCGUUCAGUCACAAAUUGGACUUGUCGCAUUAUUGAUAUAUAAUAUUUCUAAAUAACUAUAUUCAUUCUCUAAUGCGCUCCUAGGCUGUAGAAUAAAUCGUCCAUACAUAGUGAAAAAAAAGGCAAAAGCGAGUCCCCAAGGAGCGGUUUUGCGUUUGUAUGCAUGGGGAUUGGCAACACAACGGGGCUUAUUUACAUUAAAUUACGCCACAAGGUUACAGUGCAGAUAGAUGAGCGUCAUUUUUAUCACUCAUUACUUCUCUUAAGCGGUGAUGACGCUCAGGACGCACAGGAGGCACCACUCAUUUAUCCUGGAGUUUUUUUUUUUAAAGGCGAGGAGAAGAGGAAAAAGACUCGAAACAGUUCACUUAAAAGGCUCUUGUCGUCCCACCUUCUGUGGAGCUGUCGGCGCUCUUCCUGACAUCCGGCAUUCGUUCGUGCGGCGGCAGUCACACAGGGCUCCCUGAUCCGUGCCGACCAGAAGCGGAGCUGAAGCUGAAGCUGGCUUAACGGGGCUAAGCACACUGUCACGCUGUCUGAGAAACCACCCCCACCCACCGUCUGAGGUGGUCAUUCCAGUAAGCAGUAGUCAGUCAGGAGUGACAGUGAGAGGCCACUUGAUCCUAACAAACAGCUUGCACUCCAGUAUGCUGUUGGUGUGUUAAGGAUGGAGGACUCUAGUUUGUGCCUUGGUGUGUCGUCAGCGGUGCCUGAUGCUGAUGCCCAUCUGAGCAGUGCAGUGCUAAAUGGCCGCUACCCUAUCAGUCAAAAGCUUCACCAGCUUACUGCCCAGCUAGGACACGCCUUUCCUGACCUACACCGCCCUCAACCAAUCCCCGAAGAGAAAGCAGCCACACCUUUAGAUGAGAAGACCCACCACGCAGCCCUGGCCAGUCAACCUAUUAGCAGUCAGAUGGCACUGUUAGCCAAUCAGCUUAACCGAGACAUUGAUGCUGGAGCACUAAGUGGGUUGAAUGGUCGCGUUGACCUGCAGCAGUUUCUCAAUGGCCAAAAUCUGGGCAUCAUGUCCCAGAUGAAUGAUAUUGAAGACGAUGCCCGCAAGAACAGGAAGUAUCCGUGUCCACUGUGUGGCAAACGCUUUCGUUUUAACAGCAUACUGUCACUGCAUAUGCGCACUCAUACAGGAGAAAAGCCCUUCAAGUGUCCCUAUUGUGACCAUCGAGCAGCUCAAAAGGGCAAUCUAAAGAUCCAUCUCCGCACCCACAAGUUGGGGAACCUAGGUAAGGGCCGUGGCCGUGUCCGAGAAGAGAACAGGCUGCUGCAUGAGCUAGAGGAGAGGGCCAUCCUUAGGGACAAGCAGAUGAGAGGGAGUGGAAGUAUACUCCAGACAACUCCAACACCCCAUCUGGGCCUCAACAGCAGCACUAACACCCAUCAGCCGCAACUAGGCUCAGCCUGUGGCCUUCUUCCCCCAUCAGGCCUUGGCACUCCAGAAACAAUUUCCCAGCCUUCGUCUUCACCCAAGCCAGCUGGCACCCAAGAUGAAGCAUCCCUCAACCCAACCACAGGUUUCCGUUGCACCUUCUGCAAAGGGAAGUUCAAGAAGCGUGAAGAGCUUGACCGCCACAUUCGCAUUCUCCACAAGCCCUACAAAUGUACGCUCUGUGAGUUUGCUGCUUCUCAUGAGGAGGAUCUGAUAAGUCAUGUGGAGAAAGCCCACAUCACAGCUGAGACUACACAGGGGCAGGGUGGUGGUGGUGCUGGUGGCACUCAGAUGGCCACUGAGUUCCGUUGUGAUGUGUGUGGACAAGUGUUCAGCCAAGCCUGGUUCCUCAAGGGCCACAUGCGCAAGCACAAGGACUCAUUUGAACACUGCUGCCAAAUCUGUGGUCGUCGCUUCAAGGAACCCUGGUUUCUCAAGAACCAUAUGAAAGUGCAUCUCAAUAAGCUUGCGAUCAAGAGCAAGCCCCCUCAGCCCAGUGAGCAGGACAUGGCUUCUGUCAACAGCAUGAGCAACCUAGCCCAGGAAGCUCAUGCCAACCUUUAUUCACGCUAUAUCUCCUGUCUACAGGGAGGCUUUCUUUCACCAGACAAGCAGGGCCUCAGUGAGCAGCACCAAAUGCUGGCCAAAGCAGGGAUAGCCAUGAAGGAGAAGGAGAUGUUAGGUAAGCUGCUUGGGCCAAUGGCAGCCGGCAUGGGCCAUGGGCUAGGAGAGAAUGAGAAGCGCUCACUCCUGGGUUGUCUCAACCUUGUACCUCCACUUAAGUCAAGCUGCAUGGAGCGCCUCCAGGCAGCUGCAAAAGUGGCAGAAAUGGAUUCUCUCAAUAGCUAUCAAGCCUGGCAGAUAAUGGCUCGUGGCAUGGCUAUGGACAGAGCGUUCAUGCCAAAGGAGCAACACCAGCACCACAUACCAACUGGCCAGGAAGAUGAGAUGGGUGGUGCUUUAGCUGGAGCAAUGGCAUCCUUCUCAAAAGAGAAACAAGAUUACUCCUUGAUUGCUUCCACUGACAGCUCCAAACAAAAGCAGCUUUCUGAGGCCUUGCAGGGAUCCAAGGUUGCAAGUGGAGCCCUUAUGUCAAUGAAAGAAGAUGGAAGAGGCUUUGAUAGCCACCGUGACUUAAUUUCUCACCAUGGAGGUGGUGACACUCCUGGAGGCCUGGCUGGCUUAGGAAGUCCCAACAUUGACUAUGGUCUUUCCAACCUCAAAGAGAAACCCUCAGAGUGCCCAGAUUGUGGCCGGGUCUUCAGAACCUACCAUCAAAUGGUUGUCCAUUCUCGCAUCCAUGGCAAAGACAGGAGAGGCAUGGAGGAAGCACUCCAACAGCAAGGUCUUGAUGAACGACGCGGAUCAGCCAGUGACCCUGAAUCCCAGUCAAUCAGCCGUUCUACCACCCCAGGGUCAUCCAACGUGACUGAGGAGAGCGGAGCUGGAGGUGGACACUCCCAGACAGGCAGCGUUCAAGAUGACAGCCCACAUCCCUCCUCACCAUCUUCAGAUGUUGGGGAGGACCUGGGGAAGGCAGUAGGGAGCGUGCAGCCGACUUUGCCCCCGCAUCGUGAGCGAAGCCUGGGUACGUCCUCCAAGGAUUGCCCCUACUGUGGCAAGUCCUUCCGCACCUCCCAUCAUCUCAAAGUCCAUCUGCGGAUACACACAGGAGAGAAACCCUACCGGUGCCCUCAUUGUGACUAUGCUGGCACCCAGUCUGCCAGUCUGAAGUACCACCUGGAGCGCCACCACCGUGAGCGUCAAAAUGGUUCCACCACCUCAGGCCAAUCCGCUGGCCACACCCCUUCUUCUGACCACAAAGAAGAACAUGGGAAGACAACCAGCGGAGGCAUCUUUGCCCGCCCAGAUGUCCUCCGUAAUGUAUUUAAGGGCAUGCCCCCCAACCUAGACUUCAGGGCAGGUCCACUGCUGCCACAUCAGUGGGCCUCAGCCGGCAUGAUGUCACCGCAUGACCGAGACCGUGAGCGGGAGCGUGGAGACCGACAUUUUGACUCCUCCUCUGCUGAGAAUAUGAAGACUACAGAUGGUCCAUCAUCCUUGGUCUCAUCAGCAACAGACAGUCCGGCCAGCUUCUCUGACCUCAGCAGGGCCUACCAAAGCAUGAUAGGAAAUGGAGUCCAUUUUCAGGGGUCUCUCCAGGCCUUCAUGGACAACUUUGUUCUCAGCUCCAUGAAGAAGGAUGUUAAGGACAACCAGAGUCCAGUUCAGCUCCAGGCUCAGCGUUACCAUGAUAAUGGUGAGCCCAAAGCCAAGAGGGCUGCUUCUUCUGAGCAAGACAGAGAAGAAAAAGCUGAUGCCAAGGCAAAUCCAGAACCAGGAAAACCCGGUUCCCAAUAUGAACCACUGGAUCUGUCUGUGUCAGUCCGACCUGAGUCUGCUUCUGGCUCCCUCCCUGGCUCCUCAGUCACCAUUCAUGAUAAUGUGGCAUGGCAUGGCUGCCUCUUCUGUUCUUUCUCCACUGCCUCAGUGGAGCUCAUGGCUCUGCACCUCCAGGCCAACCACCUGGGAAAAGCUCAACCGCCGAGGUCAGAUACAGUCAAAGAGCUAGAGUCAUCUCCCACCACCUCCAGCCAUCACUCCAAGACCUCUGGUGUAGCCCUUGACAAAGAUGGAGACAGAAAUGGAGAGAAAGGCCAAGGUGGUUGGAACAACCAUAUGGACCAACCAUAUAACCCUUUCCAGAGCGAUUUCUACAGGCGAUUUGGUGGCUUGUAUGAUGGAUCCCCAAGGACCAACCAGGGUCUCCAAGGGUAUGCACCUUUAGUAGAGCAGGACGACAGCCAAGCGUUUGCAUCUACAGCAGUCAAUGACCAGAUUGGUGAGAGGGGCUCUUGUGGAGAUGCCGAAGAGGACCAGAUAGGAUCAGAUGAUGAAGUAGUAAAGGCACGCAGCAUCAGUGAGACCCCAUCAACAACCCCCAAGAGGCAGUCACACCAGAACAAUUCCGAUGAGGAAGAAGAAGAAGAGAGGGGAGGAGGAGUGGCUGAAGAGGAGGAGGAGAGGGAUGAGGAUGGACAAAUGGACAUGGAGAGAGAUGAAGCAGGAAGUCCAGCCUCAGACCACCUCCAGAACCACCCCAAACAGCUCCAUGAUGAGUCCUCCCUGCCUCCAAGGAGUGGAGCCAGUUUGGUGGCUUCCUCCUCCGCCAUGGCGCCACUCUCUCUGGCUCCCCAGAACCAAGGUCUGCCAUUGGAAAAGCAAUGGCAGCAGGGCCUGGGCCUCUUGUCUCCCGGAGGUCCUCCAGGACUGUUGAAGGCCGAGCAGCAGACCCACCUAGAGCAGCAGAUGAACAUGCUGUCUGUCCUCAGAGCUUACAGCAAUGACAACCUCCCAGCAUUCAACGGCUUGGGAGGCGGAGCGGGAGGAGCAUCUACAGGGGGCAUGAAGAGGCCAGAUGCAUCCGGCCAGAGACCAUUCAAGUGCAGUUACUGCCCCUACAGCGCCUCCCAGAAGGGUAACCUGAAGACCCACGUGCUGUGCGUCCACCGAAUGCCCUUCGACAACAGCCAGUACCCCGACCGGCGGUUCAAGCGCUCCCGCCCUGAGUCCGAUGGCGUAGAGAAGAGCCAAGACGACAGUCAAAGGACAAAUGGAAGCCACGGGAGUAACAGCAACGUAGAUGGCGUGUCUCGUUAUCACGAGUGAAGCCUUGAGCGGAAUCAACGUUUUAUAAUCAAAAAGUCGGGGUCUGAGUCAGAUUAUGCGUUAUGUCAAAUGCAUUAUGAGAUCUGAACCCGCAAACAGAUGCUCCUGUGUUGAGAUGCACGUGAAUGUUGGUUUUUAUAGGACUAAUUUCCAACUUUACAGGGUGUUGAAGACCCUUACCAAACAACAAGACAAUGAAAAACUACUAGUGGACAAUGCUGUGAAUAGACCACACCUCCUACAGUAUAAACACAAACUAAGCAUACUCUCUGUGUGUUAUUAGAAGUCUGUGAACAUUUACUAAGCAAGCGUAAUAACCUGUGUAUUUGUGCCGAGGUGUUGAUUUAGCAUUUUGUUUUUAACUGAGCACAGUAGAUGAUAAUGUAAGAGUCGUGAGAAAACACAGUUCAAAACUGUUGAUGAAAUUGUACUUUUGAGACAAAUCAUGGAGGAAAGAGGCUGGAAAACAAAAGGGAAACUAGACGAACUAAUCUAAAAUCAUUAGACAGACUUUUUUCCAAAAAUAAUGCUUUUAUCAGAAAAAUGAUCCGUGUAAACGAUUUAGUGGAGCAGUUACUGUAGGGGAAGAUGGAGGAGAGAGAGGAGGGCCUCUGAGUGCAUGCCACCACCACCGCCGCCGCCACCACCCCAGAACAUAACACCAGUGGCUGCCAUUUUCCCAGUGCGAGCGAUGAGUGCUGUAUGCAUGUGUGUGUUGUAAGGUCAGUGGCGGCGAUGGUGGCGUAUGUGUGUCGGGGAUAAGGAAGGGGGAGAGAGGGGGGUGGGGCAUUGGUGCCAGCCUGACUGGAGCUGUCAUCGCAGAGGAAAUCAAUUCAACGACUCACACACACAAACGCAGAAAAACACACACUCCUAGAGUCCUCCAGUGGUAACCCGACCCUGGACAGUACACCAGGGGGUCAAGUUAAGUUCCAUCAGCUGGCCGGAGCCCCUCAAGUCACCUCCUUCUCUCCUCCACUCUCAUUUUCUCUAAUAUAAGUCCAAUCCAGUAGAAUGGCUUGGAAAAUACAACACAAAUCAAUCAGCGGUGUAUUUAAAGCAGCCAUUAGCCGACGUUAAGGCUUGUUCUGCUCUGGUUUUGGCAAUUCAGUGUCUGGAGGUCACCUUACAGGCUCCACGUCAGAGAAGAGCAGGGCGCUUUAACUGACUGUGUCACAUUAUAGUGACAGAUGACAGUGUUGUACUUUGGCAAAGACCUGGACUGAGCAGUGGAUGAUUUUUUUUUUUUUUUGAGGAAAAGAGCAGAUAUAACCAUCUGUGCUCUGUACAAGUUUUAUGGAUCCAGCAAGGAGUUUCAGCAACAUUUAUUAUCAGCUCAGACAAAAAGCAGGACUAUCCUAUUCUCUGAUAAGCGCUUGUGAAGUUACUCUACAGGGUGGGACAUGAUCAGAAAUUCGAUAAUCACUCACUUCAUCCUGCUUCAUGUCUAUAAUUAAUUAUACUACAUUUUCACAGAAAAUAUCAUAAAAGUUUUUAUUAUUAUUAUUUUGAAAGAAAGCAUUGUCUCUCUGUAUAUAAGUAGUGUUGUAUUUUUUAUUCGUAUGGGUGAUAUUCCUAAGGGGUAAAAACAGCAUAAAUCAUUGAAAACAGACUGUUUUGAUCUUGUAAAAAUCAAGCUACAUUGUUGUCAGGGCAGAAAAAAAAGAAAAGUGUAGACUUUGAUUGUACUUUGUUGUGCCAGCGGCUGCUGGUUACUACUAGACGAGGAGAAGAAGAAAGUAUGGUGGUUUGUGUUGUGCCUAUGUUGGUGGUAGGGGGUUAGAAGCUGGGAGUUGUCGAGGGGUGGGUGGGUGGGUUGUUAAUGUUUUUUUGAUAAAGAGAAAUGAUCCGGACUUUAAAAAAGUCAAUAUCUUCCCGCACAAACCCACACAGACGCACACAUACAACAACCACACAUGCAGCAGAGGGGAGGGCUCUUAAACUCUUAAAACCCCAGGGCCUUAGUGCCACAGCUCUGCCUAAAGGAGUUUACAGUUCAACACACACACACACACAUACACACACACACACACACACACACACACACAAGGAAAUGGACACACACAUGCACGUAUGUACACGCAACAAGAACAACAACAGGGAAAUAUAAUCUGUCAUAUACAUGGAGAGGAGGAGUAUGUAAAGAGGAAGGGGCAGCGGAAGUGUUAAAGAAAGAAAGAAAGAAAGAAUGGAAGAAAUAGAAAGAAAGACAUAAGGAAGAAAGAAAGAAACAAAGAAAGAAAGAAACAAACAAACAAAGAAAAAUAAAUUGUCUAUGAUUUGUACUUUAUCGCUACAGUUGGGAUCUUUCUCUUCUUUUUCCUGACACAAAACUAUUUCCAGUGUAAAACAUCAUCUUUAGCCUUGUUUUAUUUUGUAAUUUUUUUAACCAACAGGACGAUAGUUGUCACUGCCUUAAAAAAAUGGAGGUGUUUUUCCCACCAAAUCAAACCCUACAUGCGAUCGGAUCACUUAAUGUAGUAUAUGCUUUAGGUUUUUAAGGCACUACUGUAUUCUUGGUGGCUGUGGCUUGUUUUUCUGGGUGUGUGUAUUCACCUGUGCGUGUGCUAAACAUUUAAGUAUACUAGCAAGAUGUCUGUAAGAACAAAAAAAGUUUCUAAAACAGUACACAUUCCAUUUUUUGGCACCGGUACUUGGGCUUUUCCAGCUUACUAAAGCAUGCGAAUCAGACCAGUUUCAUCAUCUUUUUCAGAUGAGGCAAUAAUUUUUUGUUUCGACACUGGAGAACGCCAUUUGUUGUCAUUCCUCUGUGACUUGUACUCUUUGUCCAUCCCUGAGAAUGAUCUGCCAUUUUCCCCCUGCUGUAAUCCCAAAAUAAUCCAUUCCAUUGUCCCCAUGCUGUUUGAUCUUCGUCUAGCUUCCUAUUGAAGUAGCACACACAGUUUGCUCUAUUAUAAUCACUGGUGCUAGAUAUGAAAAAAAAAAAAAAGAAAAAAAAAAGAAACCAUGCCCACUUAUUUCAGCCUGCGAUCUUAGUCCAAAUACUGUCCACAUUCCUAAAUAAAGAAGAUUUCUAUAGCGUAUGGGUGGAGAAGUGAGAAGAGGGGUUUUGCUGCAAACUAUAAUCUUAUAUUAACGUUAGAUGACUUUGUAUUUAAAAAAGAAGGAAUAUCCUUUCUCAUUAUUUAUUACUACACAUCUGUUUGACAGAUACAAGAUUGUUUUUUUUUUUUUCUUUCCCUUUGACGGUCCAGAAGUUCUGAUGUACUUUCAAGCAGUAAGAUUUAUCUGUUGUUGUUUUCUGCAAUAAAACCUCUACCUCUGGGAAA